CCUACGGGAGGCUGCAGUAGGGAAUAUUGGGCAAUGGACGCAAGUCUGACCCAGCCACGCCGCGUGAAGGAUGACUGCCCUAUGGGUUGUAAACUUCUUUUGUAUGGGAAGAAACCUCCGAACGUGUUCGGAGCUGACGGUACCAUAAGAAUAAGCAUCGGCUAACUCCGUGCCAGCAGCCGCGGUAAUACGGAGGAUGCAGGCUUCGUCCGGAUUCAUUGGUGCGUAGGGGUGGAUAUACGGAGGUUGUGAAAGCUCGCAGCUUAACUGUGAAAAUGCCAUUGAAACUGAUUUUCUGGAGUUCGAUUGAGGUAGAUGGAAUGUAUCAUGUAGCGGUGAAAUGCUUAGAUAUGAUACAGAACACCAAUUGCGAAGGCAGUCUACUAAGUCGAUACUGACGCUGAGGCACGAAAGCAUGGGGAGCAAACAGGAUUAGAUACCCGAGUAGUC
rnacentral:rRNA from 1 species